AAAAAGUUUUAUUUUGGCUUAUUAAUUUAUUAUAAGUUUGUUUUAUAUGUAAAUUUUUGUGUGAAUUUAUUUUAUUCUAAAAGAAUAUUAUAUUAUUUUUAUUCGCAGUAAAUAAUAUUAAUUAUUAGGUAAUUCUAGAAUUAUUAAUACUAUUAAGUAUUGGCUAAACUUGUGCCAGCAGCUGCGGUUAUACAAAAAAUACAAGUAAAUUAUAUUGGAUUGAGUUAAAUAAAAAUUUAUUUAAUAAAUAGUAAUUUUUUAGGUGAAAUUUUAAUUUAUUUGAAUUAAUAUAAAAAUAAAUAUUGAAGCUUAAAAAUUUUUGCAUUAAACUAGGAUUAGAUACCCUAUUAUAAAAAUUGUAUAAUUAAAAAAUCAGAGUAGUAUUAGUUAAGGUCUUGAAACUUAAAAAAUUUGGCGGUAUUUUAGUCUAUUUAGAGGAACCUGUAGUAUAAUCGAUAAUCCACGAUGGACCUCACUUAAUUUUGUUUUUCAGUUUGUAUACCGCUGUUAUUUGAAAAUUUUAUAAGAAAAAUAAUUUUCAUAAUUUUAUAUAAAAAAGUAAAUCAGGUCAAGGUGCAGCUUAUAAUUAAGAAUUUAUGGGUUACAAUAAAAUUAUUUAAAUGGAUUUAAAUAUGAAAUUAUUUUUUGAAAGUGGAUUUAAUAGUAAAUUUUUAAAGAUAAAAAAAUUGAUUUUAGCUCUAAAAUAUGUACACAUCGCCCGUCGCUCUUGUUAAUAAUAUAAGAUAAGUCGUAACAUAGUAGAUGUACUGGAAAGUGUAUCUAGAAUGAC
rnacentral:ncRNA from 1 species